rnacentral:rRNA from 1 species
UUCCGGUUGAUCCUGCCGAAGGCUACUGCUAUUGGAGUUCGAUUAAGCCAUGCGAGUCUAAGGGAUCUUCGGAUCCCUGGCGUAAUGCUCAGUAACACGUGGAUAAUCUACCCUCAGGUGGGGCAUAAACCCGGGAAACUGGGGCCAAUUCCCCAUAAAUACAGAUGGCUGGAAUGCUUCUGUAUUCAAAGCUCCGGCGCCUGAGGAUGAGUCUGCGGCCUAUCAGGUUGUAGUCAGGGUCAAGACCUGACUAGCCAGCGACGGGUAUGGGGUGUGAGAGCACUUGCCCAGAGAUGGUUUCUGAGACACGAAACCAGGCCCUACGGGGCGCAGCAGGCGCGAAAACUUCGCAAUGCGGGAAACCGUGACGAGGGAACUCCGAGUGUCUAUGCAUUGCAUAGACUGUUUUUUAGCCUAAAUAGCUAUUAGAGUAAGGGGUGGGCAAGACCGGUGCCAGCCGCCGCGGUAACACCGGCACCCCGAGUGGUAGCCACUAUUAUUGGGCCUAAAGCGUUCGUAGCCGGUUUGGUAAAUUCUUGGGUAAAUCGUACCGCUCAACGGUGCGGAUUCCGGGGACACUACCAGACUUGAGACCGGGGGAGAUCAGAGGUACUUGCGGGGGAGCGGUGAAAUGUUGUAAUCCCGCAGGGACCACCAGUGGCGAAGGCGUCUGAUCAGAACGGCUCUGACGGUGAGGAACGAAACCCUGGGGCGCAAACGGGAUUAGAUACCCCGGUAGUCCAGGGCGUAAACGC